UACAGAGGUCUCGAGCGUUAGGCGGAAUCACUGGGCUUAAAGCGUGUGUAGGCGGAUCGGUAAGUACCUUGUGAAAUCCCACAGCUUAACUGUGGAACUGCUUGGUAUACUGCCAGUCUUGAGCCACUUAGGGGCUACCGGGACAAAUGGUGGAGCGGUGAAAUGCGUAGAUAUCAUUUGGAACGCCAAUGGUGAAAACAGGUAGCUGGGAGUGUGCUGACGCUGAGACACGAAAGCCAGGGGAGCAAACGGG
rnacentral:rRNA from 1 species